rnacentral:lncRNA from 1 species
ACCUCUGAUUGAGUGAGGUGGCUGUGGGGGUAAAUUGGGCAAUUCUUUGCUUCUGUGUGCAGGUGAUCCCCGGGGGAGCAGGUCCCUGCAUCUGACAGGGAAUGAGCACAUAACCAGAACAUACAGUCCUAUUGUCAGAAUAUGUCAUAAGAAGGUGGGUAGGAACAUGUGGGGACAAACCAUUUCCUCUCACUCUUUAGCUUAAUGUGUAAGCUAUUCAGAAAUACGUUAUUCAAGGCCAUCAAUGGAUAGUCAGUAAGUAAGUAUUUAUUGAACUCCAAAUGUGUAUCGGGCAUUAAAAAUAUGGAUGUGAAUAAGGAAGAGAAUAUCUGAUCCUUAAGUAGCUGAUUGAAUUGAAUGAGUGAAUCCAGUUUUAUCGUUACUUAUUAAGGAUGAUUGUCUUUAAAAGACAUUUUUUAGCAGAUGUUCAGUGGUUUCUCAGGUUUUAUAAAAAUUAUUAGAGAAUAAACAUUUUCCCAUGAGUUUAAGAAAAAUGUAAUUUUCCACAUAUGAAUUGUUAGUUCCUAUUCUUCAGCAUUGACAAUUCAAAAAAACAAAACAAAACAAAAAACCCACGUUUGGCAGAAGGGAGUGAAACUCUGAGAAGUUAAUGCAUUGUCCCAGGUCAUACUGGAAAUAAAAUAAGAGUCAGACCAAGAAACAGGGUCACCAACUCCUGGCUGGUGUUUGUUCUUCUAUGCAUUCCAAGCACUAUCUCUAAACAUAUCUUUCUAUCCCUGUCUUAAGGAUAAUAUGAUUUGUCUUAUACUCCUUAAUUAAGGAGAACGGGCCUCUGAGAAGCGCUGUUUCUAUAGAGCCCGACUUAUGCUUAUUCUGUAACUUUGGAAUUACAGAACAUUUUCUCACUAAAGUUGAAAUGGGAGAAGGCUGGGUUUUGUAUGAUUACUGGGACCAGAGAGGCCAGUGACAUUUUUUAUUUCUGAUUUUCCUUGCAGAGGUGAAAAUAUGCUUCUCACUUGUACCUUACACCUCCUUUCUUUAUGUUUUAAAGUUCCAUUCCCUUUUUAUAGCACCUUAGGGAUUCCUCCUUUCCAGACCUCUCUCUACUCCUUCUCUAAUAUCCAAACCAAUAUUCUUUGUAUUUUUCUGAUAAAAUAUUUCUUGAAUUAAUUAGGCAAAGUCAAGUUCUUUCUUGAAUUAAUUAGGCUUAUAACUAUACCUGUUACAAAAGAAUAAUACUUAGGCCUAAGACAUGGUCUGUUAACUCCAGUUUCUAUAUAGUAGCUGAUCUUUAUCUUUGUGUAUCUUAAAAUUACUGCUAUUGAAAACAUUGAAUUACUGUAGAGCUAUAACUAUCACUCAGGCAUUUUAAAAAAAAAUUGCAGGUUACAAAUCUCAAAAUUAAAUUAAUUAAAAUGUUUAGUUGGGAGUUCCCUUCAGGGCUCAGUGGUUAACAAACCUGACUAGGAUCCAUGAGGAUGUGGGUUUGAUCCCUGGCCUCACUCAGUGACUUAAGGAUCCAGCAUUGCCGUGAGCUAUGGUGUAGGUCACAGACACAGUUCGGAUCCCACAUUGCUGUAGCUGUGGCUGUGGUUGGCCGCUGUAGCUCCACUUCGACCCCUAGCUUGGGAACUUCCAUAUGCUGAGGCAUUGGCCAAAAA